GGCGUAAGCGCGCGUAGGCGGCUAAUUAAGUCAAAUGUGAAAUCCCCGAGCUUAACUUGGGAAUUGCAUUCGAUACUGGUUAGCUAGAGUGUGGGAGAGGAUGGUAGAAUUCCAGGUGUAGCGGUGAAAUGCGUAGAGAUCUGGAGGAAUACCGAUGGCGAAGGCAGCCAUCUGGCCUAACACUGACGCUGAGGUGCGAAAGCAUGGGGAGCAAACAGGAUUAGAUACCCUGGUAGUCCAUGCCGUAAACGAUGUCUACUAGCCGUUGGGGCCUUUGAGGCUUUAGUGGCGCAGCUAACGCGAUAAGUAGACCGCCUGGGGAGUACGGUCGCAAGACUAAAACUCAAAUGAAUUGACGGGGGCCCGCACAAUCGGUGGAGCAUGUGGUUUAAUUCGAUGCAACGCGCAGAACCUUACCU
rnacentral:rRNA from 1 species